ensembl:ncRNA T04C9.10 ncRNA
UUUAUUUACGUUUGCUCUUCAUCUCUGUUCAAAACCGUAACCGGCCAAAAGAGGGAAGAGCAGAGAGAUAGAGUGGUUUAUAGUGAGACGCAGACAUCGGUGCACCGGGCAACCAGCCGGCUCGCCAUAAAUCGUC